CCUGCCUUCCCCCCUGAGCCGCGGAGGGGGAGUUCAGGUGAGUCUGGCCAGGUGUGGGCCACAGGGAUUCUUCCUCCUGUGACGUAGCAGAAAAAGCACUUGUUUUAAACAGCAGAAGACAUGAGUUUGCAAGAGCAUUCUAUCACUUAUGAAUUCUGUGCCCGUGGAAAAGUCAUAGGAACCUCGAUUUUCAUGGAUAUGUAGCGGCAGAGGCCAAAGUCUAUAAAUUUCUGACUCUGCGCCCUACUCAUUG
rnacentral:lncRNA from 1 species